rnacentral:snoRNA from 1 species
GUGAUCUUACUUGAACAGGAUCUGUUCUAUAGAAUCGUACCUUGGUAUCCUUUAGCACAAAAAAAAAUUCAAUAACCAUUGU